rnacentral:rRNA from 1 species
CACGUAGGAGGCAAACGUUAUCCGGAUUUACUGGGCGUAAAGUGCGUGUAGGUGGUUCUGUAAGUAGGGCGUGAAAGCUCCCGGCUCAACUGGGAGAUGCCGUUCUAAACUGCAGAGCUAGAGGAUGGUAGAGGGAGGUGGAAUUUCAGGUGUAGCGGUGGAAUGCGCAGAUAUCUGAAGGAACACCGGUGGCGAAGGCGGCCUCCUGGGCCAUUCCUGACACUCAGACGCGAAAGCUAGGGUAGCAAACGGGAUUAGAUACCCCGGUAGUCCCU